AGUCGUAACAAGGUAUCCGUAGGUGAACCUGCGGAUGGAUCAUUACCAAAGGAUUCAAUUCCCAACGUAUUGUGAACUGUUUUGAACUUACAGUCAGUGUUUCUUGUGAUUACGGUAGAGAGCGUGUUUCGCGCUCCUACUGUAGGAUCAGUGAGCACUGGCUGUACCCUUAAACACGUAUCUUUAUAAUUACUGAAGUAUGUUUUAGACAUAAACUCUAAGACAACUUUUAGCAACGGAUCUCUUGGCUCUC
rnacentral:misc_RNA from 1 species